rnacentral:rRNA from 1 species
GAUGAACGCUGGCGGCGUGCCUAAUACAUGCAAGUCGAGCGAACAGACGAGGAGCUUGCUCCUCUGACGUUAGCGGCGGACGGGUGAGUAACACGUGGAUAACCUACCUAUCAUACUGGGAUAACUUCGGGAAACCGGAGCUAAUACCGGAUAAUAUCUUGAACCGCAUGGUUCAAUAGUGAAAGACGGUUUUGCUGUCACUUAUGGAUGGAUCGGCGCCGCAUUAGCUGGUUGGUAGGGUAACGGCUUACCAAGGCAACGAUGGGUAGCCGGCCUGAGCGGGUGACCGGCCACAGUGGGACUGAGAUAGGGCGCAGACUGCUACGGGAGGCAGCAGAGGGGAAUAUUGCAGAAUGGGCGGAAGCCUGAGGCAGCAAAGGCGCGUGGGGGAUGAAGGCCUUCGGGUUGUAAACCGCUAACGGCUGUGACGAAGCGUGAGGGACGGUAAGGGGUAAAGAAGAAAGGGCUGGCUAAGUG